AUAUUGUCCCUUUGGCUCUUGUUGGAAUGUAUAGUGCAAGAAUGGACGGAAGGUCUGCCAUCGCUUGUUUUCUGGUGAUGCUUGUGUUUUUCAAAAGCACAUCCGCAGACUGUCAGUUGGUUCACAUUAAGCUCGUGUACUGCACCAAAUCAGUAUGCAAGGUUGAAUGCUCGGCUCAGUGGCAGGAUAUGAAGGUCUACGAGCAUUGGUGCAAUCGGUUUUUCGUUGGAACUUGCUACCGCAAGAUUUGCUAUGAUUAAUAGAUCUUAAUGGAUAUGCUAUGCACACUUUCAUGUUAUCAAUAAAUAAUGCAUAACUUUGUGUCCCUGAA